rnacentral:tRNA from 1 species
GAGGACUUAGCUUAAUUAAAGUAAUUGAUUUGCAUUCAGUUGAUGUAAGAUAUAGUCUUGCAGUCCUUA